rnacentral:rRNA from 1 species
GGGGAAUAUUGCACAAUGGGCGAAAGCCUGAUGCAGCAACGCCGCGUGAGUGAUGAAGGUCUUCGGAUUGUAAAGCUCUGUCUUUUGGGGCGAUAAUGACGGUACCAAAGGAGGAAGCCACGGCUAACUACGUGCCAGCAGCCGCGGUAAUACGUAGGUGGCGAGCGUUGUCCGGAUUUACUGGGCGUAAAGGGUGCGUAGGCGGAUGUUUAAGUGAGAUGUGAAAUACCCGGGCUUAACUUGGGUGCUGCAUUUCAAACUGGAUAUCUAGAGUGCAGGAGAGGAGAAUGGAAUUCCUAGUGUAGCGGUGAAAUGCGUAGAGAUUAGGAAGAACACCAGUGGCGAAG